UAUAUGUCUUCGGAUAUAGAGACCGGCGCACGGGUGCGUAACGCGUAUGGCCCAGAUUGCAAUCUACCUUUUACAGAGGGAUAGAUUAAUACCUCAUAGUAUUAUUGAGUGGCAUCACUUAAUAAUUAAAGUCACAACGGUAAAAGAUGAGCAUGCGUCCCAUUAGCUAGUUGGUAAGGUAACGGCUUACCAAGGCAACGAUGGGUAGGGGUCCUGAGAGGGAGAUCCCCCACACUGGUACUGAGACACGGACCAGACUCCUACGGGAGGCAGCAGUGAGGAAUAUUGGACAAUGGGCGCAAGCCUGAUCCAGCCAUGCCGCGUACGGUCCUAUGGUAAACUGCUUUUGUACGAGAAGAAACACUGCUUCGUGAAGCAGCUUGACGGUAUCGUAAGAAUAAGGAUCGGCUAACUCCGUCAGCCGCGGUAAUACGGAGGAUCCAAGCGUUAUCCGGAAUCAUUGGGUUUAGUAGGCGGUUUAGUAAGUCAGUGGUGAAAGCCCAUCGCUCAACGGUGGAACGGCCAUUGAUACUGCUGAACUUGAAUUAUUA
rnacentral:rRNA from 1 species